AGACAGACAUUGGAUGAAUCCUACCCGGUGAGGCCUUUAUAGAACCACCCACACCGGACGAGAUUUCAUCCGACAGCAG
rnacentral:pre_miRNA from 1 species